rnacentral:rRNA from 1 species
UGGGGAAUCUUGGACAAUGGGCGCAAGCCUGAUCCAGCCAUGCCGCGUGAGUGAUGAAGGCCUUAGGGUCGUAAAACUCUUUCAGCGGGGACGAUAAUGACGGUACCCGCAGAAGAAGCUCCGGCUAACUCCGUGCCAGCAGCCGCGGUAAGACGGAGGGAGCAAGCGUUGCUCGGAAUUACUGGGCGUAAAGGGCGUGUAGGCGGGACGGCAAGUCGGGUGUGAAAGCCCUGGGCUCAACCCAGGAAGUGCAUUCGAUACUACUGUUCUUGAGUGUGGUAGAGGAGAGCGGAAUUCCCAGUGUAGCGGUGAAAUGCGUAGAUAUUGGGAAGAACAUCUGUGGCGAAGGCGGCUCUCUGGGCCACUACUGACGCUGAGGCGCGAAAGCUAGGGGAGCAAACAGGAUUAGAUACCCUGGUAGUCCUAGCUGUAAACGAUGGGCACUAGGCGCGGGAGGUGUUGACCCCCUCCGUGCCGCAGCUAACGCGAUAAGUGCCCCGCCUGGGGAGUACGGCCGCAAGGCUA